UACUUAGGGAGCUACCAUUUGAUUUUUAUGGGGGGGCUAGGAUGAAAAAUUUUGUCCUGCAUUUUUUUUAGCUGUAAUCUUUGUCCUGCCUUUUUAUUUUUACUCUGUUGGUCCUGCCUUUUUUUUUUUUAGUUUAUCCUGACUUUUUUUACCUAAAUUGUCGUCCUGACUUUUUUUUUUUUGCAAGUGUCUCAUCCUGCCUUUUUUUUUACUCAAAACUCCUGUCCUGCCUAUUUUUUUCAAAUUUCAUCCUAGCCUCCCCCCAUAAAAAUCAAAUGGUAGCUCCCUUAA
rnacentral:lncRNA from 1 species